rnacentral:rRNA from 1 species
CGCCUACAUGAAGCUGGAAUUGCUAGUAAUCACAGGUCAGCAUACUGUGGUGAAUACGUUCCCGGGCCUUGUACACACCGCCCGUCACACCAUGAGAGUUGAGAAUACCCGAAGCCCAUGUCAAAGUGGUCGAAGGUAGGCUUGAUGAUUGGGGUGAAGUCGUAACAAGGUAGC